CUACGGGAGGCAGCAGUGGGGAAUCUUGCACAAUGGAGGAAACUCUGAUGCAGCGAUGCCGCGUGAGUGAAGAAGGCCCUUGGGUUGUAAAGCUCUUUUGUCGGGAAAGAUAAUGACUGUACCCGAAGAAUAAGGUCCGGCUAACUUCGUGCCAGCAGCCGCGGUAAUACGAAGGGACCUGGCGUAAUUCGGAAUUACUGGGCGUAAAGCGCGCGUAGGCGGUUAAGUAAGUUAAUUGUGAAAGCCCAAAGCUCAACUUUGGAAUUGCAAUUAAAACUACUUAGCUAGAGUUUAUCAGAGGAAAGCGGAAUACAUAGUGUAGAGGUGAAAUUCGUAGAUAUUAUGUAGAACACCAGUUGCGAAGGCGGCUUUCUGGGAUAACACUGACGCUGAGGUGCGAAAGUAUGGGUAGCGAAGAGGAUUAGAUACCCUCGUAGUCCAUACCGUAAACGAUGAUUGUUAGAUGUUGGGAAUUUAUUUUCAGUAUCACAGCUAACGCGUUAAACAAUCCGCCUGGGGAGUACGACCGCAAGGUUAAAACUCAAAGGAAUUGACGGA
rnacentral:rRNA from 1 species